UCACUGGAGGAUUUUGAGCAGA
rnacentral:miRNA from 1 species